AAUAAACGCUGGCGGCGUGCCUAACACAUGCAAGUCGAGCGAGAAAGUUCCUUCGGGAACAAGUACAGCGGCAAACGGGUGAGUUACGCGUGAGAAUCUACCUUUUAGUGAAGAAUACCCUUGAGAAAUCGAGGUUAAUACUGCAUACGUCCCGAAAGGGAGAAAGAUGGCCUCUUUGCUGUCGCUAAAAGAUGAGCUUGCGUGCUAUUAGCUAGUUGGUAGGGUAAUGGCCUACCAAGGCGAUGAUGGCUAGCCGGCCUGAGAGGGUGUACGGCCACACUGGAACUUAGACACGGUCCAGACUCCUACGGGUGGCAG
rnacentral:rRNA from 1 species